rnacentral:tRNA from 2 species
GCGGGAGUAGCUCAGCGGUAGAGCAUCAGCUUCCCAAGCUGAGGGUCGCGGGUUCGAUCCCCGUUUCCCGCU